CUAUGCUUAGCCCUAAACAUAAAUAGUUCUAUAACAAAACAAUUCGCCAGAGAACUACUAGCAACAGCUUAAAACUCAAAGGACUUGGCGGUGCUUUAUAUCCCUCUAGAGGAGCCUGUUCUAUAAUCGAUAAACCCCGAUAAACCUCACCAUCCCUUGCUAAUACAGUCUAUAUACCGCCAUCUU
rnacentral:rRNA from 1 species